CAAUCCCAAACAAUGAGCUAUAGUAGGUUUUGUCGGCCACCUCUACUCCAAGUCAUGUGCUAUUGGCAGGAAAGAUGCACAACUAAAAGAGGAACAGAAAAAUGCUACUGGAAUGGAAGCACAGUGAGGAAGAGCACCGCUAGUGAGUACUAUGCUCAGAGUUUUCUCAUCUUGGCUCUGAUACCAUGUUAAAUGGUAAAUAGUGAAGCUUGUUCAUCUAUUGCAUUCGUUUACAAAUAUAUAUAAUAUAUUAAGAUCCACCA
rnacentral:lncRNA from 1 species